rnacentral:rRNA from 1 species
UAGGGAAUCUUCGGCAAUGGGGGGAACCCUGACCGAGCAACGCCGCGUGAGUUAAGAAGGUUUUCGGAUCGUAAAGCUCUGUUGUUAAGGAAGAACGAGUGUGAGAAUGGAAAGUUCAUACUGUGACGGUACUUAACCAGAAAGGGACGGCUAACUACGUGCCAGCAGCCGCGGUAAUACGUAGGUCCCGAGCGUUGUCCGGAUUUAUUGGGCGUAAAGCGAGCGCAGGCGGUUAGAUAAGUCUGAAGUUAAAGGCAGUGGCUCAACCAUUGUAGGCUUUGGAAACUGUUUAACUUGAGUGCAGAAGGGGAGAGUGGAAUUCCAUGUGUAGCGGUGAAAUGCGUAGAUAUAUGGAGGAACACCGGUGGCGAAAGCGGCUCUCUGGUCUGUAACUGACGCUGAGGCUCGAAAGCGUGGGGAGCGAACAGG